rnacentral:rRNA from 1 species
AGAGUUUGAUCCUGGCUCAGAGCGAACGCUGGCGGCAGGCCUAACACAUGCAAGUCGAGCGCCCCGCAAGGGGAGCGGCAGACGGGAGAGUAACACGUGGGAACGUACCCUUCAGUUCGGAACAACCCAGGGAAACUUGGGCUAAUACCGGAUACGUCCGUAAGGAGAAAGAUUUAUCGCUGAAGGAUCGGCCCGCGUCUGAUUAGCUUGUUGGUGAGGUAACGGCUCACCAAGGCUACGAUCAGUAGCUGGUCUGAGAGGAUGAUCAGCCUCACUGGGACUGAGACACGGCCCAGACUCCUACGGGAGGCAGCAGUGGGGAAUAUUGGACAAUGGGCGCAAGCCUGAUCCAGCCAUGCCGCGUGGGUGAUGAAGGCCCUAGGGUUGUAAAGCCC